CACGUAGGGCGCAAGCGUUGUCCGGAAUUAUUGGGCGUAAAGAGCUCGUAGGCGGUCUGUUGCGUCCGCUGUGAAAACUCGGGGCUUAACCCCGAGCCUGCAGUGGAUACGGGCAGACUAGAGGUAGGUAGGGGAGAAUGGAAUUCCCGGUGUAGCGGUGAAAUGCGCAGAUAUCGGGAGGAACACCGGUGGCGAAGGCGACAUCCUGGACCACGACUGACGCUGAGGAGCGAAAGCCAGGGGAGCAAACGGG
rnacentral:rRNA from 1 species